UACGUAGGGUGCGAGCGUUGUCCGGAAUUACUGGGCGUAAAGAGCUCGUAGGUGGUUUGUCGCGUUGUUCGUGAAAACUCACAGCUCAACUGUGGGCGUGCGGGCGGAUACGGGCAGACUGGAGUACUGCAGGGGAGACUGGAAUUCCUGGUGUAGCGGUGGAAUGCGCAGAUAUCAGGAGGAACACCGGUGGCGAAGGCGGGUCUCUGGGCAGUAACUGACGCUGGAGGAGCG
rnacentral:rRNA from 1 species